AUACGGAGGAUGCGAGCGUUAUCCGGAUUUAUUGGGUUUAAAGGGUGCGUAGGCUGUGCGUUAAGUCAGGGGUGAAAUGCCGUCGCUCAACGACGGAGCUGCCCUUGAUACUGGCGUGCUGGAGUACGGAUGCCGUUGGAGGAAUGAGUGGUGUAGCGGUGAAAUGCUUAGAUAUCACUCAGAACACCGAUUGCGAAGGCAUCUGACGAAUCCGUCCAUGACGCUGAGGCACGAAAGCGUGGGGAUAGAACAGGAUUAGAUACCCUGGUAUUCCACGCCGUAAACGAUGAUGACUAACCGUCGGCGAUAGACAGCCGGUGGCCAAGCGAAAGCGAUAAGUCAUCCACCUGGGGAGUACGUCGGCAACGAUGAAACUCAAAUGAAUUGGCGGGG
rnacentral:rRNA from 1 species